UAGAUUGAAGCCAGUUGUUUUGGGUGCUUAGCUGUUAACUAAGUGAUUGAAGGAUAAAAGCCUUCCGAUCUAG
rnacentral:tRNA from 1 species